GAUGAACGCUGGCGGCGUGCCUAAUACAUGCAAGUCGAGCGAACAGACGAGGAGCUUGCUCCUCUGACGUUAGCGGCGGACGGGUGAGUAGCACGUGGAUAACCUACCUAUAAGACUGGGAUAACUUCGGGAAACCGGAGCUAAUACCGGAUAAUAUAUUGAACCGCAUGGUUCAAUAGUGAAAGACGGUUUUGCUGUCACUUAUAGAUGGAUCCGCGCCGCAUUAGCUAGUUGGUAAGGUAACGGCUUACCAAGGCAAGGAUGCGUAGCCGACCUGAGAGGGUGAUCGGCCACACUGGAACUGAGACACGGUCCAGACUCCUACGGGAGGCAGCAGUAGGGAAUCUUCCGCAAUGGGCGAAAGCCUGACGGAGCAACGCCGCGUGAGUGAUGAAGGUCUUCGGAUCGUAAAACUCUGUUAUUAGGGAAGAACAAAUGUGUAAGUAACUAUGCACGUCUUGACGGUACCUAAUCAGAAAGCCACGGCUAACUACGUG
rnacentral:rRNA from 1 species